GGGCUGCGGGGGCUCGGCGGGGCUUUGCGGGGGGCGCGGAGCAUGUCGGCGCUGCGGCGCAAGCUGGGGGACGACUACCAGGUGGUGAGCACCUCGGCCAGCGGAGCGGGGCUGCCGCCCCCCAGGGCCGCCCCCCGCGGGAAGCGCCAGCGCUUCGUGGACAAGAACGGCCGCUGCAACGUCCAGCACGGCAACCUGGGCGGCGAGACCAGCCGCUACCUGUCCGACCUCUUCACCACCCUCGUGGACCUCAAGUGGCGCUGGAACCUCUUCAUCUUCAUCCUCACCUACACGGUGGCCUGGCUCUUCAUGGCCUCCAUGUGGUGGGUCAUCGCCUACAUGCGGGGCGACCUCAACAAGGCGCACGACGACAGCUACACCCCCUGCGUGGCCAACGUGUACAACUUCCCCUCCGCCUUCCUCUUCUUCAUCGAGACCGAGGCCACCAUCGGCUACGGCUACCGUUACAUCACCGACAAGUGCCCCGAGGGCAUCAUCCUCUUCCUCUUCCAGUCCAUCCUGGGCUCCAUCGUGGACGCCUUCCUCAUCGGCUGCAUGUUCAUCAAGAUGUCCCAGCCCAAGAAGAGGGCCGAGACGCUGAUGUUCAGCGAGCACGCCGCCAUCUCCAUGCGGGACGGGAAGCUCACCCUCAUGUUCCGCGUGGGAAACCUCCGCAACAGCCACAUGGUCUCGGCACAGAUCCGCUGCAAGCUGCUCAAGUCCCGGCAGACCCCGGAGGGCGAGUUCCUGCCUCUGGAUCAGCUGGAGCUGGACGUGGGCUUCAGCACCGGGGCUGACCAGCUGUUCCUGGUGUCCCCCCUCACCAUCUGCCACGUGAUAGACUCCAAGAGCCCCUUCUACGACCUGUCCCAGCGCAGCAUGCAGACAGAGCAGUUCGAGAUCGUCGUCAUCCUCGAGGGCAUCGUGGAGACCACGGGGAUGACGUGCCAGGCCAGGACGUCCUACACGGAGGACGAGGUGCUGUGGGGCCAUCGCUUCUUCCCCGUGAUCUCCCUGGAGGAGGGCUUCUUCAAGGUGGAUUACUCGCAGUUCCACGCCACCUUCGAGGUGCCCACCCCGCCCUACAGCGUGAAGGAGCAGGAGGAGAUGCUGCUCAUGUCCUCGCCCCUCAUCGCGCCCGCCGUCGGCAACAGCAAGGAGAGGAACAGCUCGGUGGAGUGCCUGGACGGGCUGGACGAGGUGGGCACCAAGCUGCCCUCCAAACUGCAGAAAAUCACCGGCAGGGAGGACUUCCCCAAAAAACUCCUCAGGAUGAGCUCCACCACGUCGGAGAAGGCCUACAGCAUGGGGGACCUGCCCAUGAAACUGCAGCGCAUCAGCUCGGUGCCCGGCAACUCCGAGGAGAAACUGGGCUCUAAGACCACCAAGAUGAUGUCGGAUCCCAUGAGCCAGUCGGUGGCCGAGCUCCCGCCCAAGCUGCAGAAGCUCUCGGGGGGCGGGAGGAUGGAGGGGAACCUGCCCCCCAAACUGCGCAAAAUGAACUCCGACCGCUUCACAUAACCCAGGGGGCCGGGGGCGACCGCGGGGGAGCUGCGACUGCUCCGGGAAGGGAGCGGGGCCGGGAGGGGCCCCGGCACCGGGGGGUGCUGAACUCUGAGCUCUGGAGGCAGGAGGUGCCCCGGGAGGCCGGCGGGCCGGGGGCCGUUGGCAUGUACCAUCACACCACGCAUGCAAUACCAGUGUGCAACCCCUGCAUAUAGUCCUGUGGCAUGACUCCCACUGUAGUGACACUGUACAGCCCCAAAAGCGGGGAGGGGCCGCCCUCCCCCCCGUACCCCUGAAGGAGUAGGGCCAACACACGAGCGGGGAGCUUUCAGGCUGGACGUGAAACAAGCUGAAUGUCUCCACGAAGCCACGCAGGCUCUUCUGCUGGAUGAACUGCACCCCAAAGGCAGAGCCACCAUUCUCCCUGUCCCACCGGGCCUGGAUUUCCCUCCUCUGGCUGUGGUGGCCAGCUGGGCCAGCAGCCUGCAGGCCAUGGUGGUCCCGAGCCCGGGGAGGCUCCUUGCUGCUUUUGCUAAGGUGAAAAUGAUGUUUAACCAUGUUCUGGACUGAAGUUGACCCUGUGGGUUUCAAAAUGAGUAAUACUUUGUUUGUAAAUGUUGGGGUUGAUGUCCUCUGUGUUCGGGUUUCCUUCACCCCUCCCGUUUGGCUCCGGCAGCAGAGUCAACGCGGGAUGGGCUGAGUGUUGUGUGGUUGCCCCAUCAUCGUGGCUACUGCUAGGGGAGCACCCUCCCCGGAAUUCCAAAGGUCAGCUGUUGAGGUGCCCGUGGAUCCUGUGGGCUGUGUUUGGGGCCUUCCUGUUGUCUCCUUCUCAGAGCAGGAGGUCUGGGAUGGAUGGAGCGAUGGGCAGCACCAUCAGUGCCCUGGGUAGGAAAGCUGCUGCCAAGAGCACCAGGAGAAGGGCUCUGUGGGAUGUCCUCUGUGGGAUGUCCUCUGUGUGUGUGAAACCCUCGGGACCACAUCCAGGUGGUCCCAGGCAUGGCCAGGUGAGGGUCAGAGGAGCACCCACAGCUUCACUAAUGGCUGGGCCCUUCUGGCUCACGGGCCCCGGCCCAUCCUGCACAAAUGCUGGCACGUGCUGCCUGAGUGGUGACAGAUCUGAUGGUCUUGGAGGGGAAAAUGGGGUUUGUUAUAAAUGUUGGCAUGGAGCAAGAACCCUGAAGCCCAGCACUGCUGGGGGCUGGCUCAGCCACCACUUUCCCUGGAAGUUGCAGUGUAUGACCUGGCAGUUGUAUGAAUAACUUUGUAUGAACUUUGUAUGAACUUCCAAAGUUCCUUUCACGGUUUCUCACCCUUUUUGAGUGGCACUGCAUGUUCUUCACAGCUGUGGCUGCCCCUCAGCGCUCUGCACGUUGCUGUGGAAGGGCAGGGCUGAGCCAUGCUCCACAUGUGCUGAGCCAGGGGAAAACCUGGGCUUGUGCUCCCCCUUUUCCCAAACCUUCUUCAGGUUGUCUUGUAAAAUACCCCUGACUUUUGUGGCUGUUCUCCCAGUCCUUGGCUGGCACCAGGAAUAGCCAUGUCCAGUUGCCAGGUGUCCACAGCAGAUCCACCACCCAGCCCAGCGAGCCCAGAGCAGUGCCCAGCCUGGGAACCAGCCAGGGAGCACCCCCAGCAGCCUGGGCACAGGGCUCUGCCUGGGAAAGGAGGGUCUCCAGCAGCUUGACCCCUCCUCAAAGCUCCUUUGGUUUAUUUGGGGUGGGUGGGGAGCAGUGGCUCCUUCCUGGGGGCUGUCAGAGCAUGAGCCCACCAACCACUGGACUGUGUGACACUGGGCUGGGUGGGCAUUGCAGGGCCCUGCCAAACAAAAUAUUCUGUUCUGUUCUUUUUCUUAAUCUAUUCUAUCCUUAUUCUUAACCUAUUCUUGUUCUUAUUCUGUUUUCUAUUCUUAUCCUUGAUCUAUUUUUAUUCUUAUUCUAUUCUUAAU